rnacentral:misc_RNA from 1 species
UUCUUUUGGAUCUCAAGCCCAAAAUCCAAUAAAUCUCCUCUUCUCAGCAGCCUUGCACUUUUCUCUUCCACUCCAUAUUCGCGCCAUCGUUCGGACAAGCCUUAAGCCAUUCCGAUCCCGAUCUCGAUUUCCCAUUUUUACCGGUAACCAAAUUUCGUUCAUACUUCUUAUAUGCUUGUGGAUUAAGAUUUUCGCUUCUUGUGUUUUUGAUUGAGGCUUCUACGAUCUAACUUCAGCUGGAAUGCUUGUGUGAAUUGCUGUUUUAUUUUUUUCUUGUCGACUGGAAUUCAAUAUGAUAUUAUUGCUGGCUAUUGGAUUUUUAAGGGGUUUUGGAUGCGAUUCAAUCCAUGGUCCACUCUAAUUUAUUUAUUCACAACUCUUGGUCAUAUUUAACUCGUUUAAUUUCUCUAUUCUAGAUUAGGGUUGAGUAACUCAACGUCUCAAGCGAUUUGGUUGGGCUUGUCUGAUAAGUGCGCGGGAAUAACUUGCCUCAGCUUUUUUUUUUUUUGAUA